ACUUCUCAUCCCAUGGACAACCACUUAUAUAUCUUUCAAUGAAAAUGAUCCAGAAAUAUUUAAAACUUGUGUUUUAUCAAUUGUUUAUAGUAUUUCGACUUGUAAACUAUUAAACAAACUGGACAAGGUGAAUCUGUUCACAACCUGAAAUACUUACACAAAUAUAAGUGAACAUAUUAUUGAGAGUUCAUGAAAGUGGGUGUGCAUGGGAUGAAAAGGGACUUCUCAUCCCAUGGACAUCCACUUAUAUAUCUCUCAGUGAAAAUGAUCCAGAAAUACUGAAAACUACCAAACACACUGGACGAGAUGGAUCUGUUCACAACCUGAAAUACUUACUCAAAUAUAAGUGAACAUAUUAUUGAAAGUUCAUGAAAGUGGGUGUGCAUGGGAUGAAAAGGGACUUCUCGUUCCAUGGACAUCCACUUAUAUAUCUUUCAAUGAAAAUGAUCCAGAAAUAUUUAAAACUUGUGUUUUAUCAAUUGUUUAUAGUAUUUCUACUUGUAAACUAUUAAACAAACUGCACAAGAUGGAUCCGUUCACCCACAACAUAAAACACUUACUCAAAUAUAGGUGAACAUAUUAUUGAAAGUUCAUGAAAGUGGGUGUGCAUGGGAUGAAAAGGGACUUCUCGUCCCAUGGACAUCCACUUAUAUAUCUUUCAGUGAAAAUGAACCAGAAAUACUUGACACUUGUGUUUUAUCAAUUAUAAUAUUUCUACUUGAAAAAGGCCAAACAAACUGCACAAGAUGGAUCUGUUCACUCACAACAUGAAACACUCAAAUAUAUAUGAACAUAUUAUUAAAAGUUCAUGAAAGUGGUUGUGCAUGGGGUGUAAAGGGACUUUAUAUUCCAUGGACAACCACUUAUAUAUCUUUCAAUGAAAAUGAUCCAGAAAUAUUUAAAACUUGUGUUUUAUCAAUUGUUUAAAGUAUUUCUACUUGUAAACUAUUAAACAAACUGCACAAGAUGGAUCUAUUCACUCACAACAUGAAAUACUUACUCAAAUAUAUGUGAACUUAUUAUUGAAAAUUCAUGAAAGUGGGUGUGCAUGGGAUGAAAAGGGACUUCUCGUCCCAUGGACAUCCACUUAUAUAUCUUUCAAUGAAAAUGAUCCAGAAAUAUUUAAAACUUGUGUUUUAUCAAUUGUUUAAAGUAUUUCUACUUGUAAACUAUUAAACAAACUGCACAAGAUGGAUCUAUUCACUCACAACAUGAAAUACUUACUCAAAUAUAUGUGAGCUUAUUAUUGAAAAUUCAUGAAAGUGGGUGUGCAUGGGAUGAAAAGGGACUUCUCAUCCCAUGGACAUCCACUUAUAUAUCGCUCAGUGAAAAUGAUCCAGAAAUACAGAAAACUACCAAACACACUGGACGAGAUGGAUCUGUUCACAACCUGAAAUACUUACUCAAAUAUAAGUGAACAUAUUAUUAAAAGUUCAUGAAAGUGGUUGUGCAUGGGGUGUAAAGGGACUUUAUAUCCCAUGGACAACCACUUAUAUAUCUUUCAAUGAAAAUGAUCCAGAAAUAUUUAAAACUUGUGUUUUAUCAAUUGUUUAUAGUAUUUCGACUUGUAAACUAUUAAACAAACUGGACAAGGUGAAUCUGUUCACAACCUGAAAUACUUACUCAAAUAUAAGUGAACAUAUUAUUGAGAGUUCAUGAAAGUGGGUGUGCAUGGGAUGAAAAGGGACUUCUCGUUCCAUGGACAUCCACUUAUAUAUCUUUCAGUGAAAAUGAACUAGAAAUUCUGGGAACUUGUGUUUUAUCAAUUAUAAUAUUUCUACUUGAAAAAGGCCAAACAAACUGCACAAGAUGGAUCAGUUCACUCACAACAUGAAAUACUUACUCAAAUAUAUGUGAACUUAUUAUUAAAAGUUCAUGAAAGUGGUUGUGCAUGGGGUGAAAAGGGACUUCUCAUCCCAUGGACAACCACUUAUAUAUCUUUCAAUGAAAAUGAUCCAGAAAUAUUUAAAACUUGUGUUUUAUCAAUUGUUUAUAGUAUUUCGACUUGUAAACUAUUAAACAAACUGGAAAAGAUGGAUCUAUUCACUCACAACAUGAAAUACUUACUCAAAUAUAUGUGAACUUAUUAUUGAAAAUUCAUGAAAGUGGGUGUGCAUGGGGUGAAAAGGGACUUUUCAUCCCAUGGACACCCACUUAUAUAUCUUUCAGUGAAAAUGAUCCAAAAAUACUAAUAACUUGUGUUUUAUUAAUUGUUUAUAAAUUUCUACAUGAAAAAAGCCAAACAAACUGCACAA
rnacentral:lncRNA from 1 species